rnacentral:lncRNA from 1 species
AUAUAUAUAUAUAUAUAUAGGCAAGUGCUCAAAUGAGAACCCCAACUAGUGUGAGAUGUGAGAUCUAAUCUCAGCCACACAUGUUUAUCCCUAAAUUAAAUCGCAACCACACAAUUUCUAUUUUAAAAUAUUCUUUUAUCCACCCAUCUUCCUCACUACUCACCCACUGUCUUCUCUCACCUCUUCAAAACCCCAACCCCACCUCCUGUUGCCGUCAUCGCCGUCAAUGGCUCAACCCCCUCUCUCCGCCGCUGCUGAGAUGGGCUCGGCCAUACACAAACAGCAAGCAAUCCCCAANCACUACUCACCCACUGUCUUCUCUCACCUCUUCAAAACCCCAACCCCACCUCCUGUUGCCGUCAUCGCCGUCAAUGGCUCAACCCCCUCUCUCCGCCGCUGCUGAGAUGGGCUCGGCCAUACACAAACAGCAAGCAAUCCCCAACCCCUUCCCGUCAAUCUCUUCUUCCUCCUGCCUCUUUCUUUGCUGCUACCACCGAUGUCGCGGUGGCGUUGUCACCGCCGGCGACAUCGCAACCCCACUCCACAUCCUUGACUAUACAAAACCUCAUCCUCCUUUCAUCUCCUCCCUAUCUCCCCGUCACUUUCUGCCUCCCCUCUACUCUUCCCCGUUCUCGCAAACGAGAGUCCAUCGGUGGAGCAUUCCGGCGACUCUCCGACCUCCAUUUGGUGAUUACAAUCUCCCUAAUUAAUUCCUGACACCUCAAGCAUUAUCAAGUAGCAGGUUAUUCAUUUUUAUUCACUUUUAGUGAUUUUAUUUUGUAAUCGAUGAUUUUUCUGAUUUGGAGGGUUUGUAGAUGGUGGUGGUGGUCUGUAUAGAUGCUUAUGGCGGUGAUGAAUGAUGGCGUUUUUGGUGAUUAUUGUUAUUAUGUUGGUGGCCGGAGUUCCUUUUUAGUGAUUUUGUUUUGUAAUCAGUGAUUUUUCAGAUUUGGGGGAUUUGUAGAAAGUGGUGGUGGUUUGUAGAUGGUGAUAGUGGUGAUGUGGUGGUACGUACCGAUUAUUGUUACGAUUUCCAGUAAAAUCUGGUGAUUAUUUUCAUGAUGUUGAUGACCGGAGUUUAUAAACGAUGUUGGUGGCCGGAUCUGGUGGGCAUGAAUAAUGGCUGGGUGUAGUAGUUUUCAUAUUCUGGUCGUAAUUUUCAUUUUUCCAGAAGUGAUUUUUAGUUUUCCGGUGGUGAUUUUUGGUUUGACGG